CGGGCGGGCAGCGCAGAGCAGCACAGAAGCGCAGCCGGCAGCGCAGGCUCGAGGAACCUCCAGGUACCUCCCACGGGUUUGUGAGCAACACAAGCCAGCUCUCCCAGCCCUAGACAGCAGUGAGUACUCACGGCAGGGGAAGGGCCAGCAGCCUGCCAUGGGCACGCCUCUGCUCUGUCUCUCUGCUUCUCCCACUUCACUGGGCUCUUCUGAAACCCAUGGCUUCCAGAGAACAUCCUCGGUCUAGAGGACGUCCUAACUUCAACACUUUCUCCCCAGGCUCUAGCCAGAGGCAUGCGGCUACCCCGCUUCUCCAGCACUGUAGUGCUUUCGCUCCUGAUAGUGCA
rnacentral:lncRNA from 1 species